rnacentral:rRNA from 1 species
UACGGGGGGGGCAAGCGUUGUUCGGAAUUACUGGGCGUAAAGGGCUCGUAGGCGGCCAACUAAGUCGGAUGUGAAAUCCCCAGGCUUAACCUGGGAACUGCAUCCGAUACUGAAUGGCUUGAAUCCGGGAGAGGGAUGCAGAAUUCCAGGUGUAGCGGUGAAAUGCGUAGAUAUCUGGAGGAAUACCGGUGGCGAAGGCGGCAUCCUGGACCGGCAUUGACGCUGAGGAGCGAAAGCUAGGGGAGCAAACGGG